CCCGGGGGGGGUCCCCUACCCGUGCAAGUCGAGCGGCAGCGGAAAGUAGCUUGCUACUUUGCCGGCGAGCGGCGGACGGGUGAGUAAUGUCUGGGAAACUGCCUGAUGGAGGGGGAUAACUACUGGAAACGGUAGCUAAUACCGCAUAACGUCGCAAGACCAAAGAGGGGGACCUUCGGGCCUCUUGCCAUCAGAUGUGCCCAGAUGGGAUUAGCUAGUAGGUGGGGUAACGGCUCACCUAGGCGACGAUCCCUAGCUGGUCUGAGAGGAUGACCAGCCACACUGGAACUGAGACACGGUCCAGACUCCUACGGGAGGCAGCAGUGGGGAAUAUUGCACAAUGGGCGCAAGCCUGAUGCAGCCAUGCCGCGUGUAUGAAGAAGGCCUUCGGGUUGUAAAGUACUUUCAGCGGGGAGGAAGGUGGUGAGGUUAAUAACCUCAGCAAUUGACGUUACCCGCAGAAGAAGCACCGGCUAACUCCGUGCCAGCAGCCGCGGUAAUACGGAGGGUGCAAGCGUUAAUCGGAAUUACUGGGCGUAAAGCGCACGCAGGCGGUCUGUCAAGUCGGAUGUGAAAUCCCCGGGCUCAACCUGGGAACUGCAUUCGAAACUGGCAGGCUAGAGUCUUGUAGAGGGGGGUAGAAUUCCAGGUGUAGCGGUGAAAUGCGUAGAGAUCUGGAGGAAUACCGGUGGCGAAGGCGGCCCCCUGGACAAAGACUGACGCUCAGGUGCGAAAGCGUGGGGAGCAAACAGGAUUAGAUACCCUGGUAGUCCACGCCGUAAACGAUGUCGACUUGGAGGUUGUGCCCUUGAGGCGUGGCUUCCGGAGCUAACGCGUUAAGUCGACCGCCUGGGGAGUACGGCCGCAAGGUUAAAACUCAAAUGAAUUGACGGGGGCCCGCACAAGCGGUGGAGCAUGUGGUUUAUUCGAUGCAACGCGAAAGAACCUUACCUACUCUUGACAUCCAGAGAACUUACCAGAGAUGGAUUGGUGCCUUCGGGAACUCUGAGACAGUGCUGCAUGGCUGUCGUCAGCUCGUGUGUGAAAUUGUGGGUUAAGUCCCCGCAAACGAGCGCCAACUCCUUAUCUCUUUUGUGCCAGCGGGUUCGCGGCCGGGAAUCUCCAA
rnacentral:rRNA from 1 species